rnacentral:ncRNA from 1 species
ACCAUGCCGGCCGCUUCGUGGUGUCCCAAAGGCGUUCGCCUGCGGGAUGAAACGGGAAGCCGGUGCGUUCCUGACGAACAAUUCCGGCACUGCCCCCGCAACGGUAAGCGAGUCAAGCUGCGGCGAAAUGCCACUGUGCCAUCGGCACGGGAAGGCGCCGCAGCCGGGGUUCAUGCCCCACUCGCAAGUCCGGAGACCGGCCCGAGGCACUUUGGUCGG